rnacentral:sRNA from 1 species
CAGAUCUGACCACCUGGUUGGUGUUCUG